rnacentral:rRNA from 1 species
AUUGAACGCUGGCGGCAUGCUUUACACAUGCAAGUCGAGCGGCAGCAUGGGCUUCGGCCUGAUGGCGAGUGGCGAACGGGUGAGUAAUACAUCGGAACAUACCUAGUUGUGGGGGACAACUACUCGAAAGAGUAGCUAAUACCGCAUGAUAUCUAAGAAUGAAAGCAGGGGACCUUUCGGGGCCUUGUGCAACUAGAGUGGCCGAUGGCAGAUUAGGUAGUUGGUGAGGUAAAGGCUCACCAAGCCUGCGAUCUGUAGCUGGUCUGAGAGGACGACCAGCCACACUGGAACUGAGACACGGUCCAGACUCCUACGGGAGGCAGCAGUGGGGAAUUUUGGACAAUGGGCGCAAGCCUGAUCCAGCAAUGCCGCGUGCAGGAUGAAGGCCUUCGGGUUGUAAACUGCUUUUGUACAGAACGAAACGAGAAUCCCUAAUAUGGAUUUUUAAUGACGGUACUGUAAGAAUAAGCACCGGUUAACUACGUGCCAGCCGCCGCAGUAA